CGUUCCAAUUUUUUUAUUCAGGAUUUUAUUCCACAGUUUAUACAUCACUUUGCAACAAUCUUCUUGCUUGGUUUCUCAUGGGCAUGUAACUUCACCAGGAUCGGCUGCAUUGUUUUACUCACUCAUGAUGUGGCAGACAUAUUCCUUGAGAUUGGAAAGAUGAUGAAAUACGCUCAGUAUGAGGCUGGAGCUAAUUGCUUGUUUGCUGUAUUCACUACUGCAUUCUUUUUAUCACGCAUAAUCUUUCUUCCAUUUUGAAUUGCGAGUAGUGUCCGGGAAGCCCUGUAUAUAUACCACUGGAUCGACAUGAGCGCCACUGUCGCGCAGUAGUCCUGAACUGCUUGUUAACUCAUCGUGAAAUGCUUGUGCCAUGUGCAAUUUAUUCAUGAAGAGUGUAAACUAGUCGUGAACUGCUUGAGCAUCAAUGUGUGAAGUACAUGUGUCAGUGGGAAGGCAUGGUCACCUAAUUCGUGAACACGUCGUGACCUACUUAUGAACUCGACGUGAGCCGUUCGUAAACUGUUCGUGACAGUCAUGGCAUGGCGCGCACUGGCACGCUUCCUCCCUCGUCCCAACGAUUUCGCGAACAGUUUGCGCAUAGUUCAUGAUCCCGUCUCUAAAUUUUGUCCUGACCAAAAUUGUGAACAUUUUUAAACUCUUGUCCCAACAUGGCAUUGGCACGGUUCCGUGGCACGCAUUGGCACGACUUUAAUCGUGCCAGUGCGCAAAUUAGUCUUAAACUGGAGUGAAGUGUGCGUCAACCUGUCGUGCCAGUGCGUGCCACGGAACUUUAACGCUUCAAAUAAUGUGAUCAUAAAACCUGUCAUUUUGUUUAACACUAAUGCUGGGUAGUUGGGUAUGUAUCUUGUGUUUUUUUUUAAAGGAGGGAGAUGUUAUUAAUUUUAGCUCUUAUUAUCUUACUAUUAUAGUUGUAUUGAUGUAACUCAAAAUGACUUCAAAUGAUUAAAUUGAUUAACUAUUGCCAGCUACUUUUAUUGUAUUCAUUUUUGGGGGGGAGGGGUGGUAAUGGUGAAUAGAUUUGUGAUAACUUCCAUGUUAACUCACAUUUCCCACCCAGGAUUGUAUAGAUCAUUUGGUUGUCUGUAAAAUAAAGCCAAGGAAGGAUGGUGAGGGAUCAUAGUGUAGUGGUUCUUGUUGAUCUGGUAUGUCACAAUAAGAAUAGACCCUGAUGAGUCCCCAACCCUUUUCCUUUGCUUAUCUUUUAUAACUUUUCCCUCCUUAUGUAUUUUUUUUUAUAAUGUACACAUUGGUAUUAACAGUCAUGUUGACAAUUACCGGGGUAAUAAAUCAUUCAAAUGUCACAUACCAGCAAAUUUUUUCAUUUGUAUUUUCAUAUCUUUGUGAUUCAGUACAUGUAUUCAAUUCAAUUCAAUUCAUUUAUUUUCUCUUUCAAUCUUUAUACAUUUACAAUGAUAGUUCAAAAUACAUAUUUACAAAAUAUAACAUUUAAAUCAUUUCUAUAAUACAAUAAUACUAUGAAAUCGAAAGAGGAGACCAACUAAAAAGCAGAGCUUGUAGGGUGAAGGCCCCCUUUCAGAAGUACAUUUUAUGAAUAAAUAAAUAAGAUAAAAUAAAGAAAUAAACAAUAUAUAUAUAAUGAAUAAAAAAUAAUAAUAAUAAUAAUAAAAAUAAAUGAUUCAGUAUACACUGUAUACAGAAAUCAUAAAAUGAUUAAGCAUAUGGGGACAUCCCGAUAGACCGCGGGUCCGAUAGACCGCGGGUCCGAUAGACCGCGGGUCCGAUAGUCCGCGGGUCCGAUAGACCGCGGGUCCGAUAGUCCGCAGUGUGUGUAAAAUUAUGAUCAGAUAUAUCAAAUGUCAUCGAGAGGUCCAAAGGUCAAAUGAUACGAGGCCAUGGGGUUCUAUCAGGUGCGGAUCCAUGGAGGGCCGAGGGGGAACUGCCUCACCCCCCCCCCCCACCCCCAGCUCAAAAAAAAGAGGGGGGAAGAGGGGAAAAGGGAGAGAAUAAAAAAAAAGAGGAAGAUGGGAAAAGAAGAGAAUAGAAAAGAGGGUAAGAAGGAGAAAGGAAGAGAAGAAAAAGGGGAAAGGAAAG